GUUGAAACAUUGGUUCUCGUACGAUCCGGGAAGUGAAGCAAAAUCGAUCCUGCUCAGUACCUAGAUGGAUGACCGCUUGGGAAUUCCUGUUGCUGUAAG